AACGAACGCUGGCGGCAUGCCUAACACAUGCAAGUCGAACGAGACCUUCGGGUCUAGUGGCGCUCGGGUGCGUAACGCGUGGGAACCUGCCCUUAGGUUCGGAAUAACUCCCCGAAAGGGGUGCUAAUACCGGAUAAUGUCUUCGGACCAAAGAUUUAUCGCCUUUGGAUGGGCCCGCGUUGGAUUAGCUAGUUGGUAGGGUAAAAGCCUACCAAGGCGACGAUCCAUAGCUGGUCUGAGAGGAUGAUCAGCCACACUGGGACUGAGACACGGCCCAGACUCCUACGGGAGGCAGCAGUGGGGAAUAUUGGACAAUGGGCGAAAGCCUGAUCCAGCAAGGCCGCGUGAGUGAUGAAGGCCUUAGGGUUGUAAAGCUCUUUUACCCGGGAUGAUAAUGACAGUACCGGGAGAAUAAGCUCCGGCUAACUCCGUG
rnacentral:rRNA from 1 species